rnacentral:rRNA from 1 species
UGGGGAAUAUUGCACAAUGGGGGAAACCCUGAUCCAGCAACGCCGCGUGCGCGAUGACGGCCUUCGGGUUGUAAAGCGCUUUUAGAGGAGAUGAGAAAGGACAGUAUCCUCUGAAUAAGCCUCGGCGAACUACGUGCCAGCAGCCGCGGUAAAACGUAGGAGGCUAGCGUUAUCCGGAUUUAUUGGGCAUAAAGCGCGUGCAGGCGGUCUGACAAGUUGGAUGUGAAAGCUCCUGGCUUAACUGGGAGAGGUCGUUCAAAACUGUUAGACUAGAGAAUGGGAGAGGGAGGUGGAAUUCCGGGUGUAGUGGUGAAAUGCGUAGAUAUCCGGAGGAACACCAGUGGCGAAAGCGGCCUCCUAGACCAUUUCUGACGCUAAGACGCGAAAGCUAGGGUAGCAAACG